rnacentral:lncRNA from 1 species
AUCUGUUUAAUCUAGUUCUGCUACUUCUUCUGGAACUUCUUGUUAGAUUUCAAGUCUAUAUUUUGUGUCCGUGACACCCAAUGAGGUCCCGAUUACGAAGGCUUCGGUUCCAUUUCAAGCUGUUCCUUUCUAUAUGCCGUGGAAAGAUCCUCUGAGAGGUGGAAAUUUCAUGGAAGCGCGGUCUGCUGUUCCAAUUUCGAGUCAAGGAUGGAAGUAUUGAAGAUUUGGAGUCAGAGAGCUAGCUUCAAGCUCCUUCUAAAGAUAUAAGAUAGAAUUUUAGAGGGUUUGGGAGGACUUUGCAAUCGUUGUUCAAAGUCAGUAUUUGUGUUGGUGAU